rnacentral:rRNA from 1 species
UGAGUACGAGACGCUAAGGCGUCGAAGUAGUGGAUGUCAUACUUCCAAGAAAAGCUUGCACUGUCAUAAGUAAAAAACGCCUGUACCAUAACCGACACAGGUGGGUAGGUAGAGUAUACUAAGGGGCGCGAGAUAACUCUCUCUAAGGAACUCGGCAAAAUAACUCCGUAACUUCGGGAGAAGGAGUGCCUUAUUCGUAAGGCUGCAAUAACAAGAUCCAAGCAACUGUUUAUCAAAAACACAGGUCUCCGCUAAGUCGUAAGACGAUGUAUGGGGGCUGACGCCUGCCCAGUGCCAGAAGGUUAAAGAAGUCGGUUAGCAUUAGCGAAGCUGGUAACUGAAGCCCUGGUGAACGGCGGCCGUAACGAUAACGGUCCUAAGGUAGCGAAAUUCCUUGUCGGGUAAGUUCCGACCCGCACGAAAGGCGUAAUGAUUUGGAUACUGUCUCGGAGAGGGGCUCGGUGAAAUAGACUUGUCUGUGAAGAUGCGGACUACCUGCACCAGGACAGAAAGACCCUAUGAAGCUUUACUGUAACUUGAAAUUGAAAUUGGACUUUAUUCGCGCAGUAUAGGUGGGAGGUGUUGAUUAUAAUCUUGCGGGAUUAUUGGAGCCAUCAGUGAGAUACCACUCUUGUAAUGUUAGAUUUCUAACUUUGAAUCAUUAUCUGGUCAAAGAACAGUUUCAGGCGGGCAGUUUGACUGGGGCGGUCGCCUCCUAAAUGGUAACGGAGGCGUACAAAGGUUUCCUCUGAACGGGUAGAAAUCGUAUCUAGAGUGUAAAGGCAUAAGGAAGCUUGACUGUGAGACCUACAAGUCGAGCAGGGACGAAAGUCGGUCUUAGUGAUCUGACGGUACUGAGUGGAAAGGCCGUCACUCAACGGAUAAAAGUUACUCUAAGGAUAACAGGCUGAUCUCCCCCAAGAGUUCACAUCGACGGGGAGGUUUGGCACCUCGAUGUCGGCUCAUCGCAUCCUGGGGCGGUAGUACGUCCCAAGGGUUGGGCUGUUCGCCCAUGAAAGCGGUACGCGAGCUGGGUUCAGAACGUCGUGAGACAGUUCGGUCCAUAUCCGGUGUAGGCGUUAGAAUAUUGAGAGGAGCCUUCUCUAGUACGAGAGGACCGAGAAGGACAUACCUCUGGUGUACCAGUUAUCGUGCCAACGGUAAACGCUGGGUAGCUAUGUAUGGAGUGGAUAACCGCUGAAAGCAUCUAAGUGGGAAGCCCACCUCAAGAUAAGUAUUCUCAUC